rnacentral:rRNA from 1 species
UUCCGGUUGAUCCUGCCGGACCCGACUGCUAUCAGAGUGGGACUAAGCCAUGCGAGUCAACAUAGCAAUAUGUGGCAUACGGCUCAGUAACACGUAGUCAACAUGCCCAGGGGACGUGGAUAACCUCGGGAAACUGAGGAUAAACCGCGAUAGGUCAUCACUUCUGGAAUGGGUAAUGACUUAAAUCUAUAUGGCCCCUGGAUUGGACUGCGGCCGAUCAGGCUGUUGGUGAGGUAAUGGCCCACCAAACCUGUAACCGGUACGGGCUCUGAGAGGAGGAGCCCGGAGAUGGGCACUGAGACAAGGGCCCAGGCCCUAUGGGGCGCAGCAGGCGCGAAACCUCUGCAAUAGGCGAAAGCUUGACAGGGUUACUCUGAGUGAUUUCCGUUAAGGAGAUCUUUUGGCACCUCUAAAAAUGGUGCAGAAUAAGGGGUGGGCAAGUCUGGUGUCAGCCGCCGCGGUAAUACCAGCACCCCGAGUGGUCGGGACGUUUAUUGGGCCUAAAGCAUCCGUAGCCGGUUCUACAAGUCUUCCGUUAAAUCCACCUGCUUAACAGAUGGGCUGCGGAAGAUACUAUAGAGCUAGGAGGCGGGAGAGGCAAGCGGUACUCGAUGGGUAGGGGUAAAAUCCGUUGAUCCAUUGAAGACCACCAGUGGCGAAGGCGGCUUGCCAGAACGCGCUCGACGGUGAGGGAUGAAAGCUGGGGGAGCAAACCGGAUUAGAUACCCGGGUAGUCCCAGCUGUAAACGAUGCAGACUCGGUGAUGAGUUGGCUUAUUGCUAACUCAGUGCCGCAGGGAAGCCGUUAAGUUUGCCGCCUGGGGAGUACGGUCGCAAGACUGAAACUUAAAGGAAUUGGCGGGGGAGCACCACAAGGGGUGAAGCCUGCGGUUCAAUUGGAGUCAACGCCGGA